rfam:Bacillus sp. FJAT-27916 Scaffold1, whole genome shotgun sequence.
GGUUAAGUUAAUAAGGGCGCACGGUGGAUGCCUUGGCACUAGGAGCCGAUGAAGGACGGGACUAACACCGAUAUGCUUCGGGGAGCUGUAAGUAAGCUUUGAUCCGGAGAUUUCCGAAUGGGGAAACCUACUGUUCGUAAUGGAGCAGUAUCUUACACUGAAUUCAUAGGUGUAUGAAGGCACACCCGGGGAACUGAAACAUCUAAGUACCCGGAGGAAGAGAAAGCCAACGCGAUUUCCUGAGUAGCGGCGAGCGAAACGGAACCAGCCCAAACCAGAAGGCUUGCCUUCUGGGGUUGUAGGACACUCAUUGUGGAGUUACAAAGGAACGGGGUAGGCGAAGCGACCUGGAAAGGUCCGUCAGAGAAGGUAACAACCCUGUAACCGAAACUUCGUUCCCUCCCGAGUGGAUCCUGAGUACGGCGGAACACGAGGAAUUCCGUCGGAAUCCGGGAGGACCAUCUCCCAAGGCUAAAUACUCCCUAGUGACCGAUAGUGAACCAGUACCGUGAGGGAAAGGUGAAAAGCACCCCGGAAGGGAAAGAGAUCCNNNNNNNNNNUCCCAUGCGAGGUUAAGUUGAAGAGACGGAGCCGCAGCGAAAGCGAGUCUGAAUAGGGCGUAUGAGUAUGUGGUCGUAGACCCGAAACCAGGUGAUCUACCCAUGUCCAGGAUGAAGUCCAGGUAACACUGGAUGGAGGUCCGAACCCACGCACGUUGAAAAGUGCGGGGAUGAGGUGUGGGUAGCGGAGAAAUUCCAAUCGAACCUGGAGAUAGCUGGUUCUCUCCGAAAUAGCUUUAGGGCUAGCCUCGAACUGAGAGUCUUGGAGGUAGAGCACUGUUUGGACUAGGGGCCCUCAUCGGGUUACCGAAUUCAGACAAACUCCGAAUGCCAAAGACUUAUGUUCGGGAGUCAGACUGCGAGUGAUAAGAUCCGUAGUCAAAAGGGAAACAGCCCAGACCGCCAGCUAAGGUCCCAAAGUAUACGUUAAGUGGAAAAGGAUGUGGAGUUGCCCAGACAACCAGGAUGUUGGCUUAGAAGCAGCCACCAUUUAAAGAGUGCGUAAUAGCUCACUGGUCGAGUGACUCUGCGCCGAAAAUGUACCGGGGCUAAACGUAUCACCGAAGCUGCGGAUGCAUACCGUAUGGUAUGCGUGGUAGGAGAGCGUUCUAAGGGCUGUGAAGCAUGACCGGAAGGACAUGUGGAGCGCUUAGAAGUGAGAAUGCCGGUAUGAGUAGCGAAAGAAGGGUGAGAAUCCCUUCCACCGAAUGCCUAAGGUUUCCUGAGGAAGGCUCGUCCGCUCAGGGUUAGUCAGGACCUAAGCCGAGGCCGAAAGGCGUAGGCGAUGGACAACAGGUUGAUAUUCCUGUACCACCUCUCUUCCAUUUGAGUGAUGGGGGGACGCAGUAGGAUAGGGUAAGCGCGCUGUUGGAUAUGCGCGUCCAAGCAGUUAGGCCGAUGAGUAGGCAAAUCCGCUCAUCACACAAGGCUGAGCUGUGAUGGCGAGGGAACUAGAGUACCGAAGUUCCUGAUUCCACACUGCCAAGAAAAGCCUCUAGCGAGGAAGAAGGUGCCUGUACCGCAAACCGACACAGGUAGGCGAGGAGAGAAUCCUAAGGUGAUCGAGAGAACUCUCGUUAAGGAACUCGGCAAAAUGACCCCGUAACUUCGGGAGAAGGGGUGCUCACCAGGGUGUCAAAGCCCAGGUGAGCCGCAGUGAAAAGGCCCAGGCGACUGUUUAGCAAAAACACAGGUCUCUGCGAAGCCGCAAGGCGAAGUAUAGGGGCUGACGCCUGCCCGGUGCUGGAAGGUUAAGAGGAGCGCUUAGCGUAAGCGAAGGUGCGAAUUGAAGCCCCAGUAAACGGCGGCCGUAACUAUAACGGUCCUAAGGUAGCGAAAUUCCUUGUCGGGUAAGUUCCGACCCGCACGAAAGGCGUAACGAUCUGGGCACUGUCUCAACGAGAGACUCGGUGAAAUUAUAGUACCUGUGAAGAUGCAGGUUACCCGCGACAGGACGGAAAGACCCCGUGGAGCUUUACUGCAGCCUGAUGUUGAAUUGUGGUACAGCUUGUACAGGAUAGGUAGGAGCCUUUGAAGCCGGAGCGCCAGCUUCGGUGGAGGCGUCGGUGGGAUACUACCCCCGCUGUAUUGAACUUCUAACCCGCACCCCUGAACCGGGGUGGGAGACAGUGUCAGGUGGGCAGUUUGACUGGGGCGGUCGCCGCCUAAAGAGUAACGGAGGCGCCCAAAGGUUCCCUCAGAAUGGUUGGAAAUCAUUCGCAGAGUGUAAAGGCACAAGGGAGCUUGACUGCGAGACCUACAAGUCGAGCAGGGACGAAAGUCGGGCUUAGUGAUCCGGUGGUUCCGCAUGGAAGGGCCAUCGCUCAACGGAUAAAAGCUACCCCGGGGAUAACAGGCUUAUCUCCCCCAAGAGUCCACAUCGACGGGGAGGGUUGGCACCUCGAUGUCGGCUCAUCGCAUCCUGGGGCUGUAGUCGGUCCCAAGGGUUGGGCUGUUCGCCCAUUAAAGCGGUACGCGAGCUGGGUUCAGAACGUCGUGAGACAGUUCGGUCCCUAUCCGUCGUGGGCGCAGGAAAUUUGAGAGGAGCUGUCCUUAGUACGAGAGGACCGGGAUGGACGCACCGCUGGUGUACCAGUUGUUCCGCCAGGAGCAUAGCUGGGUAGCUACGUGCGGACGGGAUAAGUGCUGAAAGCAUCUAAGCAUGAAGCCCCCCUCGAGAUGAGAUUUCCCAUAGCGCAAGCUAGUAAGAACCCUGAAAGAUGAUCAGGUAGAUAGGUCCGAGGUGGAAGUGUGGCGACACAUGGAGCUGACGGAGACUAAUCGUUCGAGGACUUAACCAA